CAUUCCGCCAAAAGUUUACAAACGGAAUAACCAGAAAAACAAAAUUUAUUAUUUGGUUUUUUAAAAUAUUUUGUUUUCGAGAGCAGGUCUAUCCUCGACGACUUUUGAGUGGCGAAUGACUAUCCCUAAUGUGGGUGCGCAGUAUUGAAUCUGGAAAUUGGCCAGAAAAGAGGCAAGGAACCUGAAGCUUAGGCUGGAAGAAGCAUGGCGGCUAGGAUCUCCAGGAGCCACUUACAUACAAAGGUGUCGGAUACAUCCUGCCUGUAGCAUCUGAAGCACUCCUAUUCAUCAGAGAGACUUCUCGACUGGCUGCUCGGACUUUCUCACCAGAAUUCUAGUCAAGUGUGCGUACAGUGGUCUCCCAGCACUUCUCCUCCUGCGAAUACCUCAUCCAGCAGCAUGUACCAGAGCCAUGGUGCUGUAGGACUCCUCUACUGGAAAGAUGCCCGGCUGGCGGAUGCAGUUCAUAACCUCUUGCACUAUGCUGAUCCGAUAAUGUAAUUUCGUUAAGCAGCAUUGUAGAAUGCCUCGCCUCGGAGGACACGAAUGGCAUACAGAUGUGAACGAUGAUGUCCUCGAUGCGAUUUUCCCUCUACCACUCAGCUUUGGUUAUUUCGGCCAGAGUCCAGAUCAUGAGUACCAAUUCAAUCUUCGGGUAGUUAUGGCAGUCUGACUGGAUGAUAUUAACUUAGGUGCGGACCCUUCUCUCUGCAGCUGGCUGCAGGAAUACGGGGGUCCCGCACCCAUUCUCUCGAGAUUGUUGGAUCUUGCGAUAAUGGGUGCGGGGCUCUCCGUAUUCCAUGCUAUCGUGGCAUACCUAUGGUUUUAUGGCCAGCUUCAGAGAAAUGGCCCGCACCUCCGUUAAUAUCAUCAUCCAGCCGGACUGCCACAACUCACCGAAAACUGAAUUUGUACUCGUCAAAAUGUUUCUGGACCAUUUGGCUGAUAUAACUAAAACUGAAUGGUGGAGGGAGAAUGACAUCGACUACAUCAUCGUUCGCAUCUAUAUACCUUCGUGUCCCUUGUGGAGAGAAAUUAAUUACAACCAAUAUUAAGAGAAUUUUCUGAACUUGAAAGUACAUCACAUUUUUUAAAAGAAAAUAUGUCAAAUACACAAAAAUAAAAAUUAUUUUUAAAAAU